CGGUUGUUUGUGUUGUCCUGUUUAAUUGCCUUGUCUUUCUUAGUUCCGAAAUAUAGUAACCUCACAAAAGUGGUUGAAAAGUAGCACUCUUUAAUUUUCACUAACGGAAACAAACACCACAUGUUCACCAUCACCUUCAGACUCAUAAAAUACUCAAACCCAGAUCGAGCUCACUCUACCUUUAGAGGUGCAUACAAACUCAAUAAGUUUUCUUCCCCCAAAUUGAAGGAAAAAGAAGAAAAAAAUAUUCCAAAGGUCUUUGCUUGUUAUGGAGGUACUAAUGUAAUAAAAAGCGUGGCUUUUGAUGGUACUUGUGUGUUUUAAAAUUUCAUUUGAUGGUGUUGAACCUGAAACCCAAAUGGAGUUCCUCAAAAGAAAGGUACGCCUUGUUACUGUUUCUUCUCUAACGGAAUUAUUUAUUUAUCUGAAACAAAACCCUAAUUUAUCGAUCAUCUUUGCUUUCCCUCAAUUUGUGAUUCCUUCUUAUUAAUCCUUGAGGAGACAAAAUCGGUAAAGUAAGAAUUCAUUUUAUUUGAAGCCUCUUAAUCAAUCAAAUAAUAAUGCAUAUAUUUCUUCUGCUUGCUAAAUAUGGUAAUGUUUUUGUUCUUUAAUUUUCCUUUCUAGUUGUAGCUAGUACCUCCUACUACCUAUAUGCAUUAAUUUUGAUUCAGCUUAAUUAAUUAGGUUAACUGUUUUUCUAAAUCAUCAUCUUCUCAUAAUCUUUAAUUUUAAUUUACAAAUUGCAUUAUUUUUCACAUCCUCGCUAUUUGGGUUCAUAAUUUAUGCGUUUAUUUAAACAGAAAAGCUGAGGAAAAUGUUUGUCUCAGAAGUUGGUUGCUCGGAACUGCAAAUUAAUAGAAGAACUUGGAGGCUGAAUCACUAUAUAUAAUCAUCAGAUUUUGGAUCAGGAGAAUUGUUGGAAUAUUCACAGACAAGUAUGCCAUCAAAAUAAAGAAAUUUGACAAUAUGCAGAAGAAUCUUAUAAUGGACGAGUACAUUGGGAGCAUAGAAGAUUCACAUUUAAAUGCUUCUACUUCAACUGACUAUGACUAUUGCAAUGAUCCAUUUCAAAGUUGGACCAGGAUUGCCUGCAUUAGCAGCAUCACGCAGUUUGCUGUAGUAGACAAUCUCAACCAUUGAUUUGAAAUUAGAUUAUUCAAAUUACACAUUAGUAAAAUUAAGUAUAAACUUACUAGACAAUCUCAACCAUUGAUUUGAAAUUGGACAAUUCAAAUUACACAUCAAUAAAAUUAAGUAAAAACGAUCUCAGUAGUUGAAUUUAAAUCAGGCGGUCCUGAUCUGUUACAGCGUCCUGAUGUAUCGGUGGAGAAUCCGAAUCCGUGGUAAUAGUGUGUGGUUUUGGCCUGUAUCCUUUACAUGACGAUGGUAUGAUAGUACAAGUAUCAAGUUGGUGACUAGCAAGAUUUCCAAGGUCAUUAUUAUGAUGAUGAUAAUGAUAAUAAAAAGAGGUUGUGUUGUGGUCUCAAUCAAUUCAAUUCAAUAUGAUGUAAAUGAUUGUUCAUACGUCGCACCAAGCCACCUACUAAGUUUUUGUGGAAUUUCUGAAUGAGUGGUGUGGUGGCUCCCUGCUUAGUCAGUCACAUGGCGCAUGCAUCAAAUAAUUAAAGGGAGAUUCUCCGGUGAAUUGGUCAUGUAAACUGUAAUAAAGAAUGAGCUUGUGAAGAAAAAGCACAAGUUGGUGUAGUGUAUAUAUAGUGUGUGAUAUACAUUGUUUUGACCACAGUCUGACAACUAUGUUUAAAUUGGCAGUGAAUUUGUCAAUAUUACGGUAGUUCUUUUUUAUUAUAACAAUUUCACCGUCCA